rnacentral:rRNA from 1 species
AUUGAACGCUAGCGGCGUGCUUAACACAUGCAAGUCGAACGAAGUGGCGAACGGGUGAGUAACGCGUAAUCAACCUGCCCUUCAGAGGGGGACAACAGUUGGAAACGACUGCUAAUACCGCAUACUGAAGGAGGGGAUUGCGUCUGAUUAGCUAGUGGGGGGGGUAACGGCCCACCAAGGCGAUGAUCAGUAGCCGGUCUGGGAGGGUGAACGGCCAAAUUGGGAAUGUGAUACGGCCCAGACUCCUACGGGAGGCAGCAGUGGGGAAGCUUCCGCAAUGGAGGAAAGUCUGACGGAGCAACGCCGCGGUAGUGAUGAAGGCCUUCGGGUUGUAAAGCUCUGUUAAUCGGGACGCGGUACCGGAAUAGAAAGCCACGGCUAACUACGUGCCAGCCGCCGCGGUAAUAC